rnacentral:lncRNA from 1 species
CCUCCACCCGCCUCCCCGGACCCGCAGCGCCCCCCGCUCCCUCAGGGUUCUGGGGUGAAGGGGUCUGAAUAGCACCAGGGGAGGCGGCAGGGCGGGCCUGUCCUACCUGCGCCCGAGCACUGCUGAGACGACAUCCCUUCCAGCGCCGCCACGUAGUCCAGCCCCAGCCAGCCGCGGUAGGUGGUUUUCUCUCCGACAGGCACCGCCCGGACGGUGGCAUCCUUGAAAAGCAGGUCUUGGCCAUGAUAGUUGGAGGAGUCGAACAUUUUGAACCCGUUCUUAUUGUGGUCGUCUCCAAACAGAUAUCUCCCCACAAACCUAAACAAUUUCGAGAGGGACUUGUGUUCUGCAACCAGUCACAGAAUAUCAGGUGAGCUGGGCGUGUCUUCACUGACCCACCCGCCCAGGGAUGCUGCACUCCUCUCCACCCUGCUCAGAAUCACUAGAAUGACCGUUCUGUGGCUACAGCCCUAAAAGAGCUACUAAAAAGACCAGAAGUAGUAUGAGAACUUAUGAAUACGAAUAUAAAUAAAGGACAUCUGGAGAACAUGC